CAGAUAUGGGCAUAGCUUGUUCAUUGAAGUAACUGACUUUUCGCAGACGGCCCAUAGUUCCCGUAUCCCACCUUGCUUCAGGCUUCAGGGAAUCUUUACGUCUCAAAUUAUCACAACCCUAAGACUAGUCAAUCAGAAGAUUUUACAACAAACGUUAAUGCAAAUAAUCUGAACUGCUUUCACUCACUGCAAACAUUUCUCGAUGAUCAACUGCCUGCAGCCGCAAUUGGGUCCAGAAAAUUGUAUUCAGCUUAUUACAUCCAACAAUAUAAAAGAUCAAUGAAAGUCAGAACUCAAGGCACCUUCUCGAGCCAUCUUUUUUUUUUUAAUUAACUGAGCCAGCUACAAAUGCUGAUUUCCGAAAUUCUAAAUCUUAGCUCAUUGGUUGAUCACAUCCUGUAUUACAAAUUCAAUGGCUUACACAUGCUUAGACUUUUAUGUCCAGCACAAAAUGUUACAUAGAAAAACAUUGCUUUUGCUAUGUGUAUUUCUUUUGAGGUAUAAGAAGAGACCCUCUACACCCAUCAAAUUGAUUGCAAGUUGGAAAGGGAAAGGCACCUUCAUAUAUAGCUAUUCUACUCAUUAUCUCGAGUUGAGUUUUUCUUCUGCCUCCUUCGCUGAUCUCUUGAUCUUUUCUUCUCCUCUUUUCUUUUCCUCCUCAAAUUCUCCAUACUUUUUUGUUUUUCUGCCAUCUCCUUCACAUACACGCGCACCUCAUGACCAGCACUUCGGAGUGCCUGAAGUGGCUCCACACAAUCUUGACCAAUAACCACCAAUUUCCUUUUUUCGUUACCUCCCAAAUCAUUGCCCAUAUUUUGCCUAGCUAAUUCUUCCAACUGGUUUUGCAGGAGAGGUGAAACACCAGCCUGUAGGAAAAUUUGAAGAUGGUAGCUAAGAUCAUCACUUUCAUUGGAUUUAGAAGAGGUACAUUGGUGCAUAAUAUGAAGGCAAUCUUGCAUCAACUGAAAUCAAGGAGCAUAAAAUACAACAAAAAUGCACCAAAAAAAAAAAAUGCCAGCCAAACAGACUCACAAGUCCUGCCCCUAAUGUCCCAUGUACAAGAACUGUUGAUUCAAGCAUGCAUCAAAUGUAAAAGCACAUUCAACAUAAUUCAGAGAAGGAUUAUAAUAUUCUAUUGAUUAAACUAACUUGCUGUCCAGGUUUACAAUAAACCUUUGUAAGGUCCAGAUUCAAAAUCAUAUAAAGAACUUAGCCAUAGCUCAUGUUCACAGGAGAAUAUUGCAGUUAAGCUCUAACAGAAGGUCUUUUAAGAACUGCUAAUAUUAAUGCACAAGUACAAAAUUACAAGUAUAACCACCAAUUAAACUUGGCAUGGAAAACUAUAAGUGUGCAUAUAUGUAAGCCUAUACUGGACUCAAAAUAACAAUCUAAAAUGCUUCAGCAUAAAUUAUCAAUAUCAAUACAUUUUUAGUGACCGAUAUGAGCACUCAAACUGAUAGCACAGUAUAAGGAAAACCGAUAUUUAAAUACCCCUGCCAAAUAACGAUGUGAAAAUGAUUUUGGUUCCAAUGGGCGCGAAAGCAAUGUAUUGAGCUCCUGCAAUUUAAAUUAUAAAACAAUUAACACAUACAACCUAUUUAAGGAAAAUGAAAUGACCAACUUUUCAAUUCCAGAGAAGGAAGCUCAAAAUAAGAAUAAGAAUUAUCUAUAGCAGAUGAAACCUGCUGUAAUUUGUUCAAUUGCAUGGAGGUGAUUUUCUUUUGCUUAUAAUUGUUCACUCUUUCAUCCUCACUAUCAUCCUUCUCCACAAUUAACUCAACCAAUUCUGCAUUUCGUUCAAACCAGGUUUUCUUUGCCUUCUCCUAUAGAAGAGGAUACACACACAAGUUAAAGGAGGAGGGAGGCACACAUGAACUGGGACUUUCUACAGCUAAUGAUGUAAGAAAUUACUUAGCACGCAAGAACAAGGAAUUCCUUGGGACCAUAGCUAAUAAAAUAAGUUCAAUACAUUAAGUAAAUAACAGAACACCACCAGAAAAGUAAAAAAUUCAUACAAGAAAUUACUUAGCAUGCAAGAAUAAUGAAUUCCUUGGGGCCAUAGCUAAUAAAAUAAGUUAAAUUUUUACAUUAAGUAAACAAAACAUCACAAGAAAAGUAAAAUAUGCAAAAAAACCUGUGACUCUUUCCGCAUAAUCUUGUCUAUUUGGCGUGCAAGAGACAAUCGUUUUAUCACCUCAGGCAUGUAUGAUUCCUCUAAAGGAAAUCUCUGAAAACUUUCCUUUGCAAAAGAUUUGCAUAAAGAGGCAAAUUUUGAGGUAUCAUUAGGUGAGAUUAAAGCAAUGCUGCAUCCAUCAGUAAAAGCUCUAGCAGUUCUUCCACUUCUGUGAACAUAAACUUCUGCUGAAUGUGGGAGCUGAUAGUGAACAACAGUUCGAACACCAGGAAUAUCGAGGCCUCUGGCAGCAACAUCAGUAGCAAUAAGUAUACCAUGUUCAUUUGAGCGAAAACGAUCAAUUGCCUUCAAACGAGCUCGCUGCUGCAUCUGAGCAUGCAGUGUCCAAACAUGUACUCCUAGAAUGCGCAAGAGGGCAGAAAUAUGGCGCAAAGCUGCAAUUGAUGUACAGAAAACAAUUGUGCGACCUUGUCCAUGAACACUCAAUAGGUAGUAUAGGUAAGCAUCUUUAUCUUCUUCCCUGCAUCUGCAGAGUCAUUGCACCCUAAUGAGGAUAAGCGCCAAAUUCAAAUAAAAUAUAGGCAACAAAUAAUGGCCAGAAUCAACAAACUUUGGAGCAUUUGAUGUCUGGGAAAUAUCACAUGAUCUGAGGGCAAUAUGAUAUAUAACAUAUUGGUUAUUAUUGCAAUGGAUACCAUUUUAAGGCAGCAACAUCAAAGAUUCUAUAAUGGAGGUGUAACUAUACUGGAACUGGAAAAUAUGUUGUAAGUCAUGAAGCAUCAAAACACCUCCAAUAAGGGGUAUGCAAAUGUUGAAUACUUGUCAAACACGUUACUGUCAAACAAGUACCAAAAAUGCCACCUACAUAAAUCUAACACAAAUUUAGUAAGUCACUUUGCAUGGUCUUUUUUAUGAUAAAUAUGUUUUGUGCAUAUUGAUAAAAUAAAGAAAGUAUAACAUUAUCAUUAAAAAAAUUAAACAAUAAAAUUCAAAAUAGGAGAAUAGAAACCCUAUAAACGUUUAAGAAAAAGUUUUAGCAAGAUAGAUGAAUUUUCUUCAUGAGUAAGCAUCCACUAUUGCACAGGCAUGGCAAACAAUUAAGCAUUGUCAAAAUAUAGUAAUCAAACAUUAGCUUUAAAACAUCAUGCUACAAGAUGGUAAAUUGCUGAGGAGAUUCAGAUGACAUAUAUCAUAUGUAAUGUAGAAUAUAUACUCAAUAAAUGAUUCCUCAAGCUUAUGUGCCAGGAUUGAUGCAUUUGUCAGAUCAAUGAUGGCUGCAUCAGCUCUUAUUCCUGCACGUUCAGAGAGAGUUUCUAUAGAAUUCAAUCCUCCAGUUUUUUCUUCCUUUGAUUUUAGCAAACCACGCUUUAGCUUCUUGCGAAAAUCAGCAGAUAAUGCUAUCGUUGCAGAAAAAACAAAUGUUUGUCUUUUCUUUCUUUGCAAGGUUGACAGAGUCACACAACUUUGUGCAUUUUGAGAUUGGCCUUCAACUUCAACGGAGCCAUUGGCCGCAGGCAGCAUGUCAAUUAUUGACUGCAACUCACGGAAAUGUCCAUUUUCAAUCAUUCGAUCAGCUUCAUCCAGCACAAAGAAAGACAAUGAAUGCAACUCAACAAGAUGCUUUUCUCCUCCUGACAUAAGUUCCCAUAAUCGACCAGGAGUUCCAACAAUAACCUCAGGCCUUGCUUUUAAGAGUCUUUCCUGCUUCUCUGUUGACAUUCCCCCAACAAUAGGAACCACCCUAAUGCUAAUACCCUUAGCCACUUCCUUAAGAUGAUCAGUUACCUGAAGUGCAAGCUCCCUUGUAGGAGUGAUGAUAAGUGCCCGCAUGAGACAUUUUGGAGCAAACUUUUCAGCUUCAUCACCCAUUUCCUCAAACAUUUUUGUAGCCUUAUAUCUUUCCUCCAAAAGACGUUGGAAGAUGGGCAAACCAAAAGCAAGCGUCUUUCCAGAACCAGUCUCUGCAGCACCAACAACAUCCUUCCCUUGAUGAGCUGCAGCAGGAAUACAAGCUUUCUGUAUUGGUGUUGGCUCCUUGAACCCAAGCCUAUAUAUUGAUUUCAUGAGCAAAGGAUGAAGUCUCAGCUCAUUCCAUGCAUGAAAAUCAGUCUCAUCAACCAAUUCUCCAUCAACAUCAUCCUCAUCCUUUCCAUUUCUAACGGCGGCGGGUUCUUCAUUUUUCUGGGUUUCCUUUGCCUUAUUUUUCUUCUUCUUCUUCUUCUUCAGCUUUAUCGCAUACACCAUCAUCUGUUUCGAGGUCAUCAUUGAAUUCUUCCAGUUUUCUUCCUUCUACUCCCACAGAGUAUCACCAACGGACAAGGUUUUCUGGCAAUGGUUCAUCAUUUGAUUCAUAUGAAGAAGCACCCAUUGGAUCACCUACUUCAAAGUAUUUGUGUUUUGGAGCUGGUAGAGGAACUAGAGAUGGGCUUAAAGGAUGUUACGCUUGGUGGUGAAACGAUCUUAAUGAUUUUGAUUAUUGGUCUUGGAUCUGGCUGGCUUAGGUGAAAAAUCUGUACCUGUUUAUCUCCGCCUUUUUUUUAAUUGGAGUUUUCGGCAGCCUUCUUCUUCAGGUAGUUAGUGGCUUCAAUUACAAAAACAUCAACAAUGUAUCUCGUGAAUGUUGUUGUUUCUUGAAACAUUGCUCGAUCUUAUUCUGAUGUAUAUAAGUUCUGCAAUUCAGUCUUUACAAUUUCUUAAAAUUAUGCGUCGAAGACUCAUGAAAUUAAUUAAUUAGCAUGCGAU
rnacentral:misc_RNA from 1 species